AGCUGCCUCCCUGUGCAGAAAGAACUACAUAGUAUAGAUGGAAUAUGUUUUCAGGAAAUACAGGACCAGAGAAUUAGAAGUAAACUAAUUUUUUUAGAAGUAUUUUCAGGGAAAUACUCUGCCAUCUAGUCCAUCAACUAUAUGUCUAGCAUAACAUGGUAUUCGACUCUGAUGAUAUAACUUAGUAAUUCAUUUUUUUUUCUUGUUCCCAGUUCCAUCUUGACUGCUGUCUCCUAACUCGAUACUUCACACAGUUGGUUGAGUUGUCAUCCUUUCUAGUCUCUUCUUUCCAGUGCAUCACAAUCCCUUCAUCACAUGGAAGAAAGCUCUGCUUCAUGUAAUGCAGCUAUGAAAAGAGAGAGAGAGAAAAAAAAUGGGAAGAAGGAAGCUCUGGCCAUGGUUUGGAAGAGAAAUCGAGUGAGCGAAGCUAAGGGUACAUGGAGAACAGUCAAUAUCCAGCAACGGCAGCAAAACACUUUCAAUUUUCUGGAUUAUUAAUUCAAAUUCACACUCACACGCCAGUUAAAAUUAAAGGGCUCUUUUUACUGCACUAGUUUAAAUUAAAGAUUAUAUUCUGC
rnacentral:lncRNA from 1 species